rnacentral:rRNA from 1 species
CCUACGUGAGGCAGCAGUGGGGAAUAUUGGACAAUGGGCGAAAGCCUGAUCCAGCCAUGCCGCGUGUGUGAAGAAGGCCUUCGGGUUGUAAAGCACUUUCAGUGGGGAAGAAAGCCUUGGGGCUAAUACCCUCGAGGAAGGACAUCACCCACAGAAGAAGCACCGGCUAACUCCGUGCCAGCAGCCGCGGUAAUACGGAGGGUGCGAGCGUUAAUCGGAAUUACUGGGCGUAAAGCGCGCGUAGGCGGUCUGAUAAGCCGGUUGUGAAAGCCCCGGGCUCAACCUGGGAACGGCAUCCGGAACUGUCAGGCUAGAGUGCAGGAGAGGAAGGUAGAAUUCCCGGUGUAGCGGUGAAAUGCGUAGAGAUCGGGAGGAAUACCAGUGGCGAAGGCGGCCUUCUGGACUGACACUGACGCUGAGGUGCGAAAGCGUGGGUAGCAAACAGGAUUAGAUACCCGAGUAGUU